rnacentral:rRNA from 1 species
UGAGGAAUAUUGGACAAUGGGCGCAAGCCUGAUCCAGCCAUGCCGCGUGCAGGAAGAAGCAUCUAUGGUGUGUAAACUGCUUUUGUACGGGAAGAAACACUCCUUCGUGAAGGAGCUUGACGGUACCGUAAGAAUAAGGAUCGGCUAACUCCGUGCCAGCAGCCGCGGUAAUACGGAGGAUCCAAGCGUUAUCCGGAAUCAUUGGGUUUAAAGGGUCCGUAGGCGGUUUAGUAAGUCAGUGGUGAAAGCCCAUCGCUCAACGAUGGAACGGCCAUUGAUACUGCUAGACUUGAAUUAUUUGGGAGUAACUAAAAUAUGUAGUGUAGCGGUGAAAUGCUUAGAUAUUAAAUGGAAUAACAAUUGCGAAAGCAGGGUACUGCUAAUGGAAUGAAGCUGGAGGACGAAAGCGUGGGGAGCGAACA